AAAAGCAUGCUCUAGACAAGAUGGCCCAGCACCCUCUCCAGCUGCGUCUUAAAAGUGUCCCAUGUUGAGGAAUCCACCACUUCCCUGGGGAGAUUAUUCCACUGGCUGACUGUUCUCAU